GACGAACGCUGGCGGCGUGCUUAACACAUGCAAGUCGAACGGAAAGGCCCUGCUUGCAGGGUACUCGAGUGGCGAACGGGUGAGUAACACGUGGGUGAUCUGCCCUGCACUUCGGGAUAAGCCUGGGAAACUGGGUCUAAUACCGGAUAGGAGCCAUUUUUAGUGUGAUGGUUGGAAAGUUUUUUCGGUGUAGGAUGAGCUCGCGGCCUAUCAGCUUGUUGGUGGGGUAAUGGCCUACCAAGGCGGCGACGGGUAGCCGGCCUGAGAGGGUGGACGGCCACAUUGGGACUGAGAUACGGCCCAGACUCCUACGGGAGGAAGCAGUGGGGAAUAUUGCACAAUGGGCGCAAGCCUGAUGCAGCGACGCCGCGUGGGGGAUGACGGCCUUCGGGUUGUAAACUCCUUUCGCUAGGGACGAAGCUUUUUGUGACGGUACCUAGAGAAGAAGCACCGGCUAACUACGUG
rnacentral:rRNA from 1 species